rnacentral:rRNA from 1 species
AUUGAACGCUGGCGGCGUGCUUAACACAUGCAAGUCGAUCGGUAACAGGUGUAGCAAUACAUGCUGACGAGAGGCGGACGGGUGAGUAAUGCUUGGGAAUCUGCCUAUUAGUGGGGGACAACCCGGGGAAACUCGGGCUAAUACCGCAUACGCUCUACGGAGGAAAGCCGGGGACCGCAAGGCCUGGCGCUAAUAGAUGAGCCCAAGUCGGAUUAGCUAGUUGGUAGGGUAACGGCCUACCAAGGCGACAAUCCGUAGCUGGUCUGAGAGGACGGCCAGCCACACUGGGACUGAGACACGGCCCAGACUCCUACGGGAGGCAGCAGUGGGGAAUUUUGGACAAUGGGGCAACCCUGAUCCAGCCAUGCCGCGUGAGUGAAGAAGGCCUGG